GGAUGUGAGGGCAAUCUGGCUGCAACAGCUGACACCCCGUUGAUCAACACAGUUGAUUCGGCUGAUCUGGCUGGCCAGGCGGGUGUCCCCUUCCUCCCUCACCACUCCAUGCGCAUCCCUCCCGAAGCUGCGCACUCGGUCAAAAAGCACAGCCUUCCCUGAUAGAGGAGGACCGUUCUUAGUCAAGGGUAAACGAGCAGCUGCACUCCCCUGCUAUAACCCCCAAACAAGUUCUCAAAGACUGGGUUGCCAGCUCUGAGGCUUACUAGCUGUGUCACCCUGGAAAGGCUGAACCUCAGUGCCUUAUCCG
rnacentral:snRNA from 1 species